AGUGCGUGUUGUCGGGGAAGCGAUAACUAAGCGGUAACGGCGGGGCAUGCAUGAAGUAUAUCUACCGUGGGAUAAGCAGCUGAGAUAGAUUAAGGGUGGCGAGGUUAGUGCCCGAGCUGUGAACGACUGACGAGU
rnacentral:ncRNA from 1 species